rnacentral:rRNA from 1 species
AGAGUUGAUUCUGGCUCAGGAUGAACGCUAGCGGCAGGCCUAAUACAUGCAAGUCGAACGGAACAGCAAUGUUUAGUGGCGGGCGGGUGCGUAACACGUAAGCAACCUACCCAUGAGUGAGGGAUACCGGCUUGAAAGGGCCGUUAAUACCGCAUGAUGCAGCGGGCCCGUUAGGGGCAAUAGUUGUUAAAGCUGCAAGGCGCUUAUGGAUGGGCUUGCGUCUGAUUAGUUAGUUGGCGGGGUAACGGCCCACCAAGACGACGAUCAGUAACUGGUCUGAGAGGAUGAUCAGUCACACUGGCACUGAGACACGGGCCAGACUCCUACGGGAGGCAGCAGUAGGGAAUAUUGGGCAAUGGGCGCAAGCCUGACCCAGCCAUGCCGCGUGCGGGAUGAAGGAGCUUCGCUUCGUAAACCGCUUUUAAUUGGGACUAAGGGGUUUGUAACUCAAGCCAUUGCAGGUACCAAAGGAAUAAGGACCGGCUAACUACGAGCCAGCAGCCGCGGUAAUACGUAGGGUCCAAGCGUUGUCCGGAUUUACUGGGUUUAAAGGGUGCGUAGGCGGCUGUUUAAGUCGGUGAUGAAAUGCCGGGGCUUAACCUUAGGCGCUGUUACCGAUACUGGACGGCUAGAGCUAGCGUAAGGCAGCUGGAAUAAGUGGUGUAGCGGUGAAAUGCGUAGAGAUCACUUAGAACACCGAUCGCGUAGGCAGGUUGCUGGCGCUAAGCUGACGCUGAGGCACGAAGGCAUGGGGAUCAAACAGGAUUAGAUACCCUGGUAGUCCAUGCAGUAAACGAUGGAUACUAGCUAUUUGGGAUGCAAGUCUUGAGUGGCCAAGCGAAAGUGAUAAGUAUCCCACCUGGGAAGUACGCCCGCAAGGGUGAAACUCAAAGAAAUUGACGGGGGCCCGCACAAGCGGUGGAGUAUGUGAUUUAAUUCGAUGGUACGCGAGGAACCUUACCUGGGCUAGAAUGCGCGCGACCGGCUCAGAGAUGGGUUUUCCCCGCAAGGGGCGCAAAGCAAGGCGCUGCAUGGCUGUCGUCAGCUCGUGCCGUGAGGUGUUGGGUUAAGUCCCGCAACGAGCGCAACCCCUGUGAUUAGUUGCCAGCGCGUCAUGGCGGGGACUCUAAUCAGACUGCCUUCGUAAGGUUGAGGAAGGGGGGACGACGUCAAGUCAUCAUGGCCCUUACGCCCAGGGCUACACACGUACUACAAUGGUCGGUACAAAGGGCAGCAAGACCGCGAGGUGGAGCGAAUCCCAAAAAGCCGAUCUCAGUUCGGAUUGGAGUCUGCAACUCGACUCCAUGAAGUUGGAAUCGCUAGUAAUCGCGUAUCAGCAACGACGCGGUGAAUACGUUCCCGGGCCUUGUACACACCGCCCGUCAAGCCACGGAAGCUGGGGGCGCCUGAAGUCGGGGGAUCAAAUCCCUGCCGAGGGCGAAACUGGUAACUGGGGCUAAGUCGUAACAAGGUA